GCAACUAAAAGAUUAAAGCCAGAUUAGGUAAAGGCAAGGGUGUACUUUUUAAUGAAAUGGGUUCCUAGUAGAAUCACUCAUGGUUCAUUCAGUGUUUUUCAUUCAGCAUGGAUACAUUGAAUGGCUAUAAUGUGCAUUUUUGUAAGAUGUACAAGGAAGAAAUAACUGAGUCCCUGAUUUUUAGAAACUCAUUGUUUAACAUAAAGGAAGACAUACAAAGAUUUCAAUGCAAUUAGUUUAUUGCUGUCAGGUGAGUAUGUAUCCAGCACAGAGGCACCUAAGAGAAAGGACACAUCCAGGGUUCAACUCAUGUCUAGGGGAAUUUUGGAAAGUUUCUAAGAGGGUGAAUGUUUUAUCUGAGACUUGAGUUUCCCGGGCUGUUGAGCACAGAGAGGACUUUCUAGACAGAAUGAACAAACACAAAUCUGAAAUGAGAGGAACAGGGGCAGUAUUGCGGAAACAUGGAGUUUGAAGGUUAGAAGGAAUGGCAGACAUGAAGCUGGACAGGGAAACAGUCAUCACGUCAUGGCAGACCUCAGUGGUCAGUUGGGUGUAUUAGACAGGCACAAGGGGCUCCCAGGGGAGCAGUGAAUAACAAGGAUGGUAGGGCUCAGAACAGUGGACAUCUGGAGCAGUGGUUCUGCAGCAUCCAGGGC
rnacentral:lncRNA from 1 species